rnacentral:tRNA from 1 species
CAUUAGAUAACUAAAAGCAAGUAUUGGUCUCUUAAACCUUAUAAUAGUAAUUAGCGCCUACUUCUAAUGA